GCUGGCCGAUGUACAUUUCGUAUUUCGGUCCCGAUUUUAGGUGGUAUUUAUUUUUUAUUCCACUUUAGUCACACGCCGGACUCCAUGCACGCCAAACGCAACUCGUCGCGGCCGGUACAUCGCGAUAAAUGUGCAAUACCUACAUGUGUGAUAUAGGUACGGCAGAGUGGACGGCCGCAGACCGCAGCACGCGAGGGGACACGUCUAAAUAUAUCUCUGGACUUUGGAGUCCAAAGUGGCGUGGCUGUGACGCGGGACCCCCUCGGAAAGAAAAUCUGUAUUUCACGCAUAUAUUAUCGGUCGCUUUGCCAUACACAAUUAUAUAUAUGCGGACAAGGGGACGAAUUUACAAGAGUUUUCGUUUCGCGAGUUGCGGCGAAUCGCCUUCACCCUCGUCGAAUUCAAUAAUAAUUCCUAGCCUGGCGAUGACGGUAUCGUGACGUUAUGUCUACCUAUGUCAUGGGGUUGGGAACCACUAGUCGAGGACGGCGUCAGAGGCGAAACGCUAUAGUAUAAUAUUAUAUUAUAUACACAACAUUGUACGGCGGCGACAGAGGCGAACGGCGGCGGCGGCUGCAGCAGCACAGUCGCCGUAUAUUGUGUAUAUUAUUAUUAUUAUUAUUAUCAUCAUCAUCCGCUCCCAUGAUUCAUUGCCGGCAAGAUGGAUGACCGAAACGCGGCGGCGAACAGCGCACGGAGCGGCGACCCACCCUCGCCAGACAUAUACACCAGACAUGACCGCGAGCAGCAGCCAUGGUGCCGCACCCCGCGACCAAACGGAGGAAAAAAAAAACGCUAUUUUUCUCUUUUUAAGGGGGUUACGCGAUUUCGUAUCGUUUCGUAUUGUCCGUACGCGUAUUACACAUUAUUAUUAUUAUUAUUAUUAUUAUUAUCGUGUCUGCAGCUAUACCGGGUGCACUAUACUACGAGAAGGACCAUAUUAUAAAUAUUAUAUAUUAUGAACCUACAUCGGUUAUACUUGCACGAACUGUAUAUAUGAUUAUAAUAUACAAUAGUAACUUUAUUGCGACAAUAACAGAUUAUGAUACAUUUUAUAAAUAAUUUACUUAAAUAUUUAAACAUUGUAGCAACCCCUAAAAUUAAGCGUGUGCUGAAGGAGCGGCUCUUAUUGAUUUAAUUUAUAUGCAUAUAAAAAUAAUAUUAUACACCUAUUAGUACUAAUUUAAAUUAAUGAGAAA